rnacentral:rRNA from 1 species
UACGUAGGGUGCGAGCGUUGUCCGGAAUUACUGGGCGUAAAGCGCACGUAGGCGGCUUUUUAAGUCAGGGGUGAAGUCCCGGGGCUCAACCCCGGAACUGCCCUUGAAACUGGAGAGCUAGAAUCUUGGAGAGGCGAGUGGAAUUCCGAGUGUAGAGGUGAAAUUCGUAGAUAUUCGGAAGAACACCAGUGGCGAAGGCGACUCGCUGGACAAGUAUUGACGCUGAGGUGCGAAAGCGUGGGGAGCAAACAGG